rnacentral:rRNA from 1 species
CGUUCGUAGUUGAAUUUGUGCUUCAUACGGGUAGUACAACUACAAUUGUGGAUUGUACAUUACCUUAUGUAUGUAAGCGUAUUACCGGUGGAGUUCUAAUAUAAUAAUGGUACUUAUGUAUUGUUAUAUAUACCUCCUAUUUAAACCUACUUCGGUGCUCUUUACCGAGUGCUGAUGUGGGCCGGUACAAUUACUUUGAACAAAUUAGAGUGCUUAAAGCAGGCUCCAAAUGCCUGAAUAUUCUGUGCAUGGAAUAAUGAAAUAAGACUUCUGAUCUACUUUCAUUGGUUUUUAGAUCAAGAGGAAAUGAUAAAUAGAAGCAGUUUGGGGGCAUUAGUAUUACGACGCGAGAGGU